AUAGAGAAGGGAUUGUGGCAUGACUGUCCCCCUGGGAGGGACUGAAACCUCUAGGAAAACGAGAGAAUAGCCUGUUUGGAGGACAACAGGGACAGCGGGCUGCCUCCACAUCCCCCUCCUGCUGGCCCUGUGCGUGGUCUAGCUAAUCCUGAGAACGUGAUGAGCUAUUCUAUGAGAAAGAAGAGAAUAGAGAGAAAAAGGGGCAAGGGGGCAUGCAGGAGAGGAGAAAGAAACAAGGGCGGAUGGUCCGGGAUGGAUGGUCGGAAGUGGAGGCGACAAUCUCUGAGUUCGUGUGACAGCCACGUGACAACGGAUCUCACACGUGAACUUGGUUGGAGCACACGGUGCUCAGAUAUCUGGUUAAACGUCAUUUCUGGGUGUGUCUGUGAGGGUGUGUUACCUGGAAGAGGCUGGCAUUUGAACUGGUGGACUGAGUAAGGUAGAUGGCCCUCCGGUGUGGGACAAAUAGGACAAAGAGGGGGAGGAAGUCAGUGGUCUCUCUGCCCACCUGCUGGGGCUAGGACAGCCCGUCUCCUUCCCCUGCCCUCAGACUGCAAUUUCCACCUCUGGUUUCCCUGGCUCUCCGUCCAGCCGACUGCAGAGCCAGGGACAUCUCAGCCUCUGUGAUCACAUGAGUAAUUGGCUUUAUCUCUGUAGAGAACCCCAGCACACUCGGUGAGGCCAAGAAGUCCCGACAGGCUAAGUGAUCACGUCAACAAGCUUUCUGCAUCAAAUGCCAAAGUCAGCAUCUGCCACUGCGUCCCCUGCAAACGAUCUCCAGAAUUGAUGUGUAGGGGAGGGAUGCUUUGGGGUUCCAGACCCCGACACCAAAUUCCUCGCUAGUCCCUGGGGCACAGUGGGAGUUGGCAAAGGCAUGGCUGGCAGGAGAUGCAUGAACAGGCUGCUCACCACUGGAGGGUGCAGGGAGAUCGAGCCCAGACCCAGGUGGGCUCGGUCACUCUCUGUGGCCUUCAGCAAAUCUCAGCCACUCAUGCUGAGGCUGUACUGUGUUCACGGUGUA